rnacentral:rRNA from 1 species
UACGGAAGGUUCAGGCGUUAUCCGGAUUUAUUGGGUUUAAAGGGAGCGCAGGCGGACCUUUAAGUCAGCUGUGAAAUACGGCGGCUCAACCGUCGAACUGCAGUUGAUACUGGAGGUCUUGAGUGCACACAGGGAUACUGGAAUUCAUGGUGUAGCGGUGAAAUGCUCAGAUAUCAUGAAGAACUCCAAUCGCGAAGGCAGGUAUCCGGGGUGCAACUGACGCUGAGGCUCGAAAGUGCGGGUAUCAAACAGG